rnacentral:sRNA from 12 species
GUUCUAUGAUGUAAGAGUGCCUAUCGCAAGGUUGGCUUACGGAGGACUAGGGAAGGGUUUUGUGGUUUCCUCAAAGCGAUGUAGAUAUUGUGCACAAUAUUGAAAGAAAACACUUACA